AAUGAGCUUCCUCUGCAGUGGAGAGGGUAGGCAGCAGAACCUUUACUGUACAGAACAAAAUUCGUGUGUCUAUAGACAAGAAUUAUUUUGUAUUGUCAUUAGUUAUCUACAAUUUACAAACUUGAAUAUAGCCCCCAAAGAAUCAGAACCAGAUAACAUGAAAUGGUGUCACCUAAACAGUGCCUAGUUUUUCAUCGAAGCACACAUU
rnacentral:lncRNA from 10 species